rnacentral:lncRNA from 1 species
CGAACCCUUAUCUUCCGCGGUAGCCUCACCGCAUUGUUCCAGGAAUUAGCAUAUAUUCUCGAUGGUUGACAUGUUAUCCUGAUUGGAGAACUUGGAGAAGCCGCAUUAUUCCAGGAAUCAGCAUAUAUUCUCGAUGGUUGAUAUAUUACCCUGAUCGGAGAAUUUGGAGAAGUCCGGCAGCAUGUACCGAUGCGGUGGCAAAGGUACUGUCGAAUGCUUCGGGGUACGGAUGCCGUACGUGUACGCCUGAUCCAUAGGCUUCACGCUGGGACUCGGAUCGGCAUACAAAAACCGACGUGUUCGGUGUUUGGUGAUUUCGGUUCGGUGGUCGGUUUCACCGAACUUCAGUAUGUGAACUGCAAUGCAAGCAAGCAGCAGUUCAACAGCAGUUUAGUGAAAAAAUCAACACGGAUGUAGCCAUGUAGGCAAGCAAGCAAGGAGCCAACGAUAGCAAGAAAGCAAGCAGGCAAUUAAGAAGCGCAGAUCACAGAGGCACGGCAAACACGCAGCCGCAAAUUCACAUACUCACGAUUCACAGAUCAAAAGCAAACACAACAGCAACAAGCUAGUCUCCCAACUCCAGGCCGCUCGACGGUUGCCGCUGGCGGUCAUUGACGCGCUGCUCGAAGCUGCUGUAGCCCCAAGCGUUUCAUGGCAGCCUCGCCCCGCACGUUCUUGUCCAGACGUGGCGACCGUACAGCCGCAGCCAUGCUCGUAGCGCGUCGCCGCCGCAUGGCCGCAGCCCUGCUGGCCACUCGCCGUCGACGCCGCGGCCGCCGCCGGAUGUGGAAGGAACAGGUGCUAGGGUAAAGAAUGAUUCGCACGUUCUUGUCCAGGCUCUGGGCUUGGUGAA